UACUCCUACGGGAGGCAGCAGUGGGGAAUAUUGCGCAAUGGGGGGAACCCUGACGCAGCCAUGCCGCGUGAAUGAAGAAGGCCUUCGGGUUGUAAAGUUCUUUCGGUAUUGAGGAAGGUUGAUGUGUUAAUAGCACAUCAAAUUAACGUUAAAUACAGAAGAAGCACCGGCUAACUCCGUGCCAGCAGCCGCGGUAAUACGGAGGGUGCGAGCGUUAAUCGGAAUAACUGGGCGUAAAGGGCACGCAGGCGGUUAUUUAAGUGAGGUGUGAAAGCCCCGGGCUUAACCUGGGAAUUGCAUUUCAGACUGGGUAACUAGAGUACUUUAGGGAGGGGUAGAAUUCCACGUGUAGCGGUGAAAUGCGUAGAGAUGUGGAGGAAUACCGAAGGCGAAGGCAGCCCCUUGGGAAUGUACUGACGCUCAUGUGCGAAAGCGUGGGGAGCAAACAGGAUUAGAUACCCUGGUAGUCCACGCUGUAAACGCUGUCGAUUUGGGGGUUGGGGUUUAACUCUGGCGCCCGUAGCUAACGUGAUAAAUCGACCGCCUGGGGAGUACGGCCGCAAGGUUAAAACUCAAAUGAAUUGACGGA
rnacentral:rRNA from 1 species